AAAGUAUUACCUCCAUCCCGAAAAGCUUGUCUUAGAUUUAAAUAGAAACAAAUUUAUCUAGGCAUGUUUUAGUGUUAGAUAUAUCUGUAUUUCGACAAAUUUAAGGCAAAUUUUUUGGGACGGUGGGAGUAGACA
rfam:Triticum aestivum genome assembly, contig: Triticum_aestivum_CS42_TGACv1_scaffold_644205_T_4BL-0.090176_4BS-0.047046